UUCUCUGGCUUUGGGGCCAAGUGCGUUUUUUACAUCCUAGACAUACAGGGCACCAGUUUCUCGCUCAGAGUGUCACUAUCCUAAGCCUUAGAGGCCUGGAGGCAGACAGACAGGAGUUCCGGUCCUUCAUUGUGGUUUCCAGCCAAGCUUCAAAGACACUGUUUGUUCCUUGAUCUUCCCACUUCAUAGCCACCCACCCCUCCCGACUGCCACCCUUGCAAACUCCAGACUCCAGUACCAAACAGAAACCCAGCUCCUACUUUGUUGCUUUGUUGUUGGGGGGUGAGGGCAUUAGGAAUGGAACCCAGGGCCUUAACUUGCUUGCUAGGCAAUUGUUGCACUAAGCUAUAUCCCCAGCCUGUAAUUGUUUUUGUUGUUGUUUUGGAACUAUAUUCCAUGCUGACAUCAAUCUUCCUGACUCACCUCCUGAUUAGAGGUAAACUAGUUAUUUUGUAGAGUCAAAUCCCCACAAUAAAUAUUUUCUUUUGCCUGUUUAUACUUUCUACUAGUUCUGCUACUCUCGGGUUCCAGAAUGAGGAAAACCUGGUUGCCACAUGUUCAGUUUGCCUAUAAUACAUAGGCCCUAAAUGCCAAGUUUACUGUGUGUCUGGCAGUUGAUAGUGACAAAAGACCAACACAUGAUUCUUGGGCUGUCUAAUUAUCAGCUGACUAGGAAAGGAACAGAUCUCUUUUUUGAAAUUAUGGACAUCUGGCUGGCCUUUGUAUUUCCUGAAGAUGCUAUGAUGAUUGCCAUGGAGGAAAAAUCAUGAACUGUCUUUCCCACCUGUGAACCCUGUAACCUACAAAAACAACUGGCCUGGCAAAGUAUGUUCACUGGUGCAAUAGUGGCAUAGCUGUUUUGACGGUA